rnacentral:rRNA from 1 species
UAGGGAAUCUUCGGCAAUGGGGUCAACCCUGACCGAGCAACGCCGCGUGAGUGAAGAAGGUUUUCGGAUCGUAAAGCUCUGUUGUAAGAGAAGAACGUGUGUGAGAGUGGAAAGUUCACACAGUGACGGUAACUUACCAGAAAGGGACGGCUAACUACGUGCCAGCAGCCGCGGUAUACGUAGGUCCCGAGCGUUGUCCGGAUUUAUUGGGCGUAAAGCGAGCGCAGGCGGUUUAAUAAGUCUGAAGUUAAAGGCAGUGGCUUAACCAUUGUUCGCUUUGGAAACUGUUAAACUUGAGUGCAGAAGGGGAGAGUGGAAUUCCAUGUGUAGCGGUGAAAUGCGUAGAUAUAUGGAGGAACACCGGUGGCGAAAGCGGCUCUCUGGUCUGUAACUGACGCUGAGGCUCGAAAGCGUGGGGAGCAAACAGG